rnacentral:lncRNA from 1 species
GGACCGGAGGCGCGACCCCUCGGCCCACCUUGAGGCCCGGCCUAGGACUGGAGGCGCGACCCCUCGGCCCACCUUGAGGCCCGGCCUAGGACCGGAGGCGCGACCCCUGGGCCCACCUUGAGGCCCGGCCUAGGACUGGAGGCGCGACCCCUCGGCCCACCUUGAGGCCCGGCCUAGGACCGGAGGCGCGACCCCUGGGCCCACCUGGCGGCCCGGCCGGCACAGCCCGCCUCUCCUCUCCAGGCCAGGGCCCCACACCUUCCGCCUGACAGCCAGCCAAGCUCUUCAGUCCCCCGCCCUCCACCUGCCAGGGAGGCUCCGGGCGUUGUACCUGCCACCACGGGUGAAAGAACAUCAGUGUAUCAGCACAGCAAAUAUUCCAAAUGCCAGGCUGGAUUCCCUCCAAUUACCAGGACCUCCAGGCUUCUCCUCCUUUCAAGAACUUUCUGACCCUGGAUCCAGUCUAAAUGUUGGUUAUAAACUCACCUGACAUCCACAGGGCCCUUCCAAAAUACUGUCAAGGCUGACUGCUGGUGCCUGGAACCUGCACACCCUCCUGGGACUCUGCAUCUCUGCUGGGGCUGGUUUCUCCUCUGAGCCACCUUAAGGAAUCCCACCCUGACCCGGUCAGAGCUCACCAUGCCUCCCUCUCCUACUUGCUCAGCAUUUUGUGUCUAUCUAGACUGAAGCCUUUGCUUUCUCUCUGUGAUUAUGGUGAAAGUUCAGUUUGCUUUCCUAUCUCUAGAAUGUCAGCACGAAGGCAGAGGCAUGGUCUCCUGAGUUCCAUAACCCCAAAGCCUAACUCCCUGCCUGCCACACUGAGGGGCUUAGUAGACAUUGACUUACUAAAUUGAAUAGUUGAGUAAUAAUGCUCUUUGAAAUAAUUUGGAGUUAGAUCUUGAGCCUUGUGUGGCCAGAGGAUGGGUGAGGACACAUCAUAAAAACUAAAGGUAACUGAGCAUGCCAGUGGUUGGGGUGAGAAAUUUGCAUGGAGCACUCCAGACACAGAGGCAGCAAAACCCAAGUGCUGGGAAGUCAGAGUGAGAGAGUGAAGGGGCAGUGAGUGCUUCUUUAGGAGCUGGAUCAAAACCUAAGAUGAUCUGGCCACAUGGUGCAGACUGAGCACACACUUGGGAGAGAAAUGGGCCAGGAGGAGAGGAGAGAGGUUCACCACAGGACAGUGGAUGACUGGGAAUAGAAGCCCUCCCCAUGGUGGACCAAGAAGUCUGUGAAGCUGAGAGAAAGACAAAAGAAAUCACGACUUCUGUAGGUAGCUGGGAUGGAAACCUCAGGGGUGACAGGGUCUUUAAAGGAAAUCUCAAGGAAGGCAUCAUGUUCUGGGUGUGCUCCAGGGAUGCUGAGUAAGAAAAGACCAGCCUUUCUGUGUGUGUCUUUACUCUGCCACAAGGCACCUGGGCUCCUAAAUGACCAAUACACAUGUGCUAUACUGGUGCCAAGAAAGAAGGGUGUUUUGUAGGAAAGUCAAGGUGAGAGGAGGUGCCCAGGACUUGGCUCCUUUCUUUGAAGGGUGACGGUGUAAAUUCUCCAUGCUGGGGAUCCUACUGAUGGAUGGAGGCAUGUCGAUCUCAUCAUUUCACAGAGUGGGGAGCUAUGGCCACAACGUGCCUAUCACACAAGUCCAGCCUCACGUCAGCUGGACACCAGCUGUUCUGACACUUGUCAGCACAUGGGGCACCCGGAAGUUCAUGGUGUUCUGCAAAGAACGCCACAAAACAGUGAGCUCAACUUCUUGAAAGUCAUAAUGUGUUGCUAAGUCCGAUCCCAGAUCCUAAAAAUAAUAUGAGGUAGUGGCCAUUGAACAGAAAAAAUUUACAUCUUAAACUUGAAGAUAAGUACAAGUGUACCUUUUUCUACCACUGUUGUUCAGUUUUAUUAUAUUGACAAGCACCUCUGCCCACCCUGUGGGGUAAAACUGUUUGAAAGUGUUUAUGAAAGUUUUAUAUAAAUAUUGGUUGAUCAAAUGUACAAAAUAUGCAUGAUGGCACCAUAUUGUGUAUAAUAGUGACAAAUACAGUCUAUGUGGGUGGAGAAACAAGCUCGGUGUUGU